ACGGGGGGUCCAAGCGUUGUUCGGAAUCACUGGGCGUAAAGCGCACGUAGGUGGCUUUUCAAGUCUGUUGUGAAAGCCCCGGGCUUAACUUGGGAAUUGCGCUCGAAACUACUUGGCUGGAGUGUGGCAGAGGAGGGUGGAAUUCCACGUGUAGCGGUGAAAUGCGUAGAGAUGUGGAGGAACACCAAUGGCGAAGGCAGCCCUCUGGGCCAACACUGACGCUCAUGCACGAAAGCGUGGGGAGCAAACAGGA
rnacentral:rRNA from 1 species